CCUACGGGAGGCAGCAGUGAGGAAUAUUGGACAAUGGGCGCAAGCCUGAUCCAGCCAUGCCGCGUGCAGGAUGACGGUCCUAUGGAUUGUAAACUGCUUUUGUACAGGAAGAAACACCUCUACGUGUAGAGACUUGACGGUACUGUAAGAAUAAGGAUCGGCUAACUCCGUGCCAGCAGCCGCGGUAAUA
rnacentral:rRNA from 1 species